CCGACCCUAGGUCAGGAAGGAUUAACCGUUGAGUUUAAGCAUAUCAAUAAGAGGAGGAAAAGAAACAUACAAGGAUUUUCUUAGUAACAGCGAGCAAACCGGGAACAACCUAGCCUUAGAAUCGGGUGGCUUCGUUAUCUAAAUUAUAGUCAUAAGAAUCAUCCUUAGCGGCGGACCAGGCCUAAGUCCCCUAGAAGGGGGCGCUAGAGAGGGUGACAUCCCUGUUGUGCCCAAGCCUGUCACAACACGAGACGCUGUCUACGAGUCAGGUUGUUCAGAAAUGCAGCCCAAAUUGGGUGGUGAAUUCCAUCUAAGACUAAAUACGGGAGAGAGAUCAAUAUCGAAUAAGUUCUGCGAGGGAAAGAUGAAAAGGACUUUGAAAAGAGAGUUAAAAAGUGCUUGAAAUUAUCGGGAGAAAAGAGGAUGGUUGCUGGUGAUGCACCUCGAUCAAAUAUGGAAUGAAGACGAGCUAGUCUGUCGAUCUACUUGAGGCGUGGAUCAGCAUGGAUUGGUGGGCAGACCAGGCUCUCGAUACGCUCGUGGAAUAUCGCCUCCUCGAUUGUGGCAGGAAGAGCGUGCCUUUGGAGUGAUUCGGUAUCUAUGUGCUCUGGACGCGGGCCUGUGGGCUCCCUAUUUGACCCUUCUUGAAACACAAAUCAAGGAGUCUAACAUAUGUGCGAGUCAAUGAGUGAGUAAACCCAUAAGGUGUAAGAAAGCUAAUUGGUGGGAUCCCCCUUGAGGGGUGCACCGCCGACCGAUCUUGAUCUUUUGAGAAGGGUUCGAGUGUGAUCAUACCUAUUGAGACACGAAAUAUAGUGAUCUAUGCCUGAGCAGGGCGAAGCCAUAGAAACUCUGGUGGAGACCCGCAAUGAUACUGAUGUGUAAAUCGUUCAUCUAACUUGGGUGUAGGGGAUAAAUACCAAUCAAACCAUCUAGUAUUAGGUUUCCUCCAAGGUUUCCCUCAGGAUAGUUGGAGCUUCUGUACAAGUUCUAUCUGGUAAAGCCAAUGAUUAGGGGCCUCGGGGGUGCAACGCCCUCAACCUAUUCUCAAACUUUUAAUAGGUAAGAUGGCACGACUGCUUUGUUGAGCCACACCACAGAAUCAAGAGCUCCAAGUAGGCCAUUUUUAGUAAGCAGAACUGACUAUACGAGAUGAACUGGAAUUCGGGUUACAGUGCCAAACUGUUCACUAACCUAGAUCUCACAAAGGGUGUUGGUCGAUUAAGACAGCUGGAAAUGUGUAACAACUUACCUACCAAAUCAACUAGCCCAAAAAAUGGAUGGCACUUAAGCGCACGACCUACACCUGGCCGUCAGGGCAAGUGCAAGGCCCCAAUGAGUAGGAGGAAGCGGUGGUCUCUACAAAACCUUGGGCGUGAGCCUCUGUGGAGCUGUUGUCGGUGCAGAUCUUAGUGGUAGUAGCAAAUAUUUAAAUUAGAACUUUGAAGGCCUAAUAAAAGAAAGAUUCCAUGUGAACGACACUUGCACAUGGGUUAGUCGAUCCUAAAGGUCGGGGGUUCCCCGAUAGAUAAUGCAUUUCUCGCGUACUUCAAAAGAGAAUCGGGUUAAAAUUCCUUAAUUAGGAUAUGGCGGUCAACGACAAUGUUAGAAAGUUUUGAGAUAUCGGCAGGAGCCUCAGAAAGAGUUACCUUUUCUGCUUAAUAGCCUGGCCAUCCUAUAAUUGGCUCAGUCGGAGGUAGGGUCCAGCAGUUGGAAGAGCACUGCACGUUGCGUGGUGUCUGAUGCACUCCCAGUGGCACUUGAAAACUAGAGGAUCGAAUGCCGUCCAUGCCUGGUUGUACUCAUAACCGCAUCAGGUCUCCAUUAUGAACAUCCUCUAAUCGAUGGAACAAUGUAGACAAGUGAAGUUGGUAAAAUGGAUCUGUAACUUCGGAAAAAGGAUUGGCUUUGAAGUCCGGGAAUGGGGGUCCCAGCCUCUAACUCAUUGGUUGUCUAUGGACUGCUCGAGAUGCUCUCAUGGCGAGAGCAGGUCACCACAGCCAGUCGGGGGAUGGACUGAGAACAGUUCCUUUGGGGGCCUUCCCCGCGCAUCAAACAACCAACUCUUAACUGGUACGGUCAUAGGGAAUCUGACUGUUUAUUUAAAACAAAGCAUUGCGAUGGACCCAAUGGAUGUUCACACAAUAUGAUUUUAUCCCAAUGCUCUGAAUGUCAAACUGAAGAAAUUCAACCAAGCAUGGGUAAACAGAGUAACUAUGACUCUCUUAAGGUAUCCAAAUGCCUUGUCAUCUAAUUAGUGAUGCGCAUGAAUGGAUUAAUAAGAUUUCCACUGUCCCUAUCUAUUAUCCAUAAAAUCACCGUUAAAGGAGCUGACUUGGCAGAAAUCAACGGGGAAAGAAAACCCUGUUAAGCUUGACUCUAGUCCGACUUUGUGAAAUGACUUGAGAGGUGUAGUAUAAGUGGGAGUCGAAAGGCAAAAUUUAAAUACCACUAUUUUAAAGUUAUUUUACUUAUUUCGUGAAUCAGAAGUGGGGCAUUGCCCCUCUU
rnacentral:rRNA from 1 species